GAUGAACGCUGGCGGCGUGCCUAACACAUGCAAGUCGAGCGGACGGACCAUAAGCUUGUUCCUUUGCUGUUAGCGGAGGGCGGGCGAGUAACGCGUGGAUCACCUACUUAUAUUUCGGGGAUAAUUACGGGACACCGGAUAUUAUACCGGAUAAUAUUUUGUACCGCUUUGUUCAAUGGAUAAUGACGGUCUUGCUGACAGUAAUAGCCGGUUCCGCGCUGCAUGAGCUAGUUGGUAAGGUAACGGCUUACCAAGGCUACGAUGCGUAGCCGACCUGAGAGGGUGAUCGGCCACACUGGAACUGAGACACGGUCCAGACUCCUACGGGAGGCAGCAGUGGGGAAUCUUCCGCAAUGGGCGAAAGCCUGACGGAGCAACGCCGCGUGAGUGAUGAAGGUCUUCGGAUCGUAAAGCCCUGUUAUUAGGGAAGAACAGCUGUGGAAGUAACUGCGGACAUCUUGACGGUACCUAAUCAAAAAGCAACGGCUAACUACGUG
rnacentral:rRNA from 1 species